CUAGGGGUGCAGAUAGUAAUUUGUCUAAGAAUUAUGUGAGAAAACUAUACCCAAGUGGUUAUAAAUAGAGAAGAGCAUUAGAGAAUUAGAGUUAGAGAAAAAGAAAGAAAGAAAUUCAGAGAGCAAAAGGAAACUACGAUUUCGGAGAAAGGAGGUAAGGGAAGCAUAGAGAUAGCUUAUGGAGAGAUUCAACCAUAUAAUUCACCGUUCCUUCUAAACGUUGAGAUAUUCAGUACGAAGAAUUUUAGACGUUGUGAGCUUGGAGUACGACAAAGAGUCUUUCUCGUCAAUCCUUCCUUUCAUUAGGAGUUUAUUUUGGGUCAACGCUCUGAUUCUGUAAAUGAGUGUUUUUCUUUUAAUUUUUAGAUUUUGUUUUGAAACUCAUGUUUGAAUUUGGUUUAAUUGUUAUGAUGAUGUAAUGAUGUUUUUAAACUUAAUUUCACUGCACUAUUUUUAUUAAAACUGGAGUAUUUUAAAAUGAUGAGAAUGUGCGACACCCUUGUGUGAUUAAAUUUUAAUUGUAUUUUAAAUUAGAAAAAUAUUAAUGUGGGGUUAUGUAAAAUUAUGUCUUAUGGAUGAUAUAUUUUCUUAAAUAUUUAAAUGGUCUCUACAAAUAUAGUGAACUUGAGUUUUUGUCCCUAAAAUUACUUAUCCUUUCAAUUUUACCUUGUAAAGGUUAA
rnacentral:lncRNA from 1 species